rnacentral:rRNA from 1 species
CAUGUCUUUUUGAUUAUAAUUUAAGGUUUAAUCUGCUCAAUGAUUAUUUAAAUUGCCGCAGUAUUUUGACUGUGCAAAGGUAGCAUAAUAAUUAGUUUUUUUAUUGAAAACUGGAAUGAAUGAUUGGACGAGAGAAUUUCUGUCUCUUUAUUAUUUUAAUUGAAUUUUACUUUUAAGUUAAAAGGCUUAAAUUUUUUUAUAGGACGAGAAGACCCUAUAGAGUUUAAUUUUUAUUUAAUUAAUUAUUUUUAGUAUUUUAUAUAUUUAUUUAAAUAAUAAUUUGGUUGGGGUGACUAAAAGAUAAGAUUAAUUCUUUAAAUUUAAAAUCAAUUAUUUUUGAUUAAAAAAUCUUUAUUUUUAAUUUUAAAAUAAAUUACCUUAGGGAUAACAGCGUAAUUUUUUUUUAAAGUUCUUAUUGAAAAAAAAGUUUGCGACCUCGAUGUUGGAUUAAAAUUUAUUUUAGGUGUAGAAGCUUAAAAAUUAAGUCUGUUCGACUUUUAAAAUUUUACAUGAUCUGAGU